AUUAACUGUUUUAACUUUUUGUUCAGUAUGACUUCAAAUUGACGUAAAACGUUGAAAUUACGUUGAAAAGAAAUCAAUUUGACGUGAGUGCCGACUGGAUAUGACUAUGUUAGCGUGAUUGCGCUUAUGUUUGUUUUAUGCAUACGGUAUGCAUAGAAUAAACAUAGGUAUGCAGCAUACCAAAGUACGCAUAAAAUUAUUGACAUAACAUUUCUGUUAUUCAAUUAAGCUUUUUGCUUUCCAAAGAUUAUGAAGAUCAUUAAAAACUGGUUCAACAAAAAGAGGGCGUCAUAACCAUUGACUACAAAUCAAAAGUGCCCCAAGAAGUCCUUAUGGGCUUUUCACAAAGCAACGCAGAAUAGCAUUUGAAAGAAAGUUCACACCUCCUUCCUUAACAAUAUUAUUAAACUUACCCAGAGGUGGCGUUGAACCAGGGGCAGGUAUUGUCACUUGCCAAGGAGGGAGCUAAAAAGGUCUAAAAAAAAAAAAAAAGCUUCACAAAUUUUUUUUUUAAGUAACUUUCUUUUUUAAUUUUUUGUGUUUUAGUAAAACGUGGUGUAACUAAAUGGAGAUAUUUCUAAAAUGAAAAUCAAUUAACUUAAAGACUAUAAAAUAUUUAUAAAGUAAAUGUUUGUUAUGGAGAUCAUUGUUAAAAUAAUUUUAAAAGUUGAA